rnacentral:rRNA from 1 species
CAUAAGACUCUCGGCAACGGAUAUCUUGGCUCUUGCAUCGAUGAAGAACGUAGCAAAAUGCGAUACCUGGUGUGAAUUGCAGAAUCCCGUGAACCAUCGAGUUUUUGAACGCAAGUUGCGCCCGAGGCCUCUCGGUUGAGGGCACGUCUGCCUGGGUGUCACGC